AGUCGAGCGAGUGGAGUUCUUCGGAACAAAGCUAGCGGCGGACGGGUGAGUAACACGUGGGCAACCUGCCUCAUAGAGGGGAAUAGCCUCCCGAAAGGGAGAUUAAUACCGCAUAAAAUUGUAGCUUCGCAUGAAGUAACAAUUACAGGAGCAAUCCGCUAUGAUAUGGGCCCGCGGCGCAAUAGCUAGUUGGUGAGGUAACGGCUCACCAAGGCGACGAUGCGUAGCCGACCUGAGAGGGUGAUCGGCCACAUUGGGACUGAGACACGGCCCAGACUCCUACGGGAGGCACCAGUGGGGAAUAUUGCAGGAUGGGGGAAACCCUGAUGCAGCAACGCCACGUGAGUGAUGACCGCCUUCGGGUUGUGGAUGUCUGUCUUCAGGGACUAUAAUGACAGUACCUGAGGAGGAAGCCACGGCUAACUACGUGCAAGCGUCCGCGGUAAUACGUAGGUGGCUAGCGUUGUCCGGAUUUAGUGGGCGUUAAGGGAGCUUAGGCGGGCUUUUAAGUGAGAUGUGAAAUACCCGGGCUGAACUUGGGUGCUGCAUUUCACACUGGAAGUCCAGAGUGUAGGAGAGGAGAAUGGAAUUCCUAGAGU
rnacentral:rRNA from 1 species